rnacentral:rRNA from 1 species
AGUCGAACGGCAGCACGGGGGCAACCCUGGUGGCGAGUGGCGAACGGGUGAGUAAUGAAUCGGAACGUGCCCGGUAGUGGGGGAUAACCAGUCGAAAGACUGGCUAAUACCGCAUACGACCUACGGGUGAAAGCGGGGGACCGUAAGGCCUCGCGCUAUCGGAGCGGCCGAUUUCCGAUUAGCUAGUUGGUGAGGUAAAAGCUCACCAAGGCGACGAUCGGUAGCUGGUCUGAGAGGACGGCCAGCCACACUGGGACUGAGACACGGCCCAGACUCCUACGGGAGGCAGCAGUGGGGAAUUUUGGACAAUGGGCGAAAGCCUGAUCCAGCCAUGCCGCGUGCGGGAAGAAGGCCUUCGGGUUGUAAACCGCUUUUGGCAGGAACGAAACGGCGCGGGCCAAUACCCCGCGUUAAUGACGGUACCUGCAGAAUAAGCACCGGCUAACUACGUGCCAGCAGCCGCGGUAAUACGUAGGGUGCAAGCGUNAAUCGGAAUUACUGGGCGUAAAGCGUACGCAGGCG